rnacentral:rRNA from 1 species
GAUGAACGCUGGCGGCGUGCCUAAUACAUGCAAGUCGAGCGAACGGACGAGAAGCUUGCUUCUCUGAUGUUAGCGGCGGACGGGUGAGUAAAACGUGGAUAACCUACCUAUAAGACUGGGAUAACUUCGGGAAACCGGAGCUAAUACCGGAUAAUAUUUUGAACCGCAUGGUUCAAAAGUGAAAGACGGUCUUGCUGUCACUUAUAGAUGGAUCCGCGCCGCAUUAGCUAGUUGGUAAGGUAACGGCUUACCAAGGCAACGAUGCAUAGCCGACCUGAGAGGGUGAUCGGCCACACUGAAACUGAGACACGAUCCAGACACCUACGUGAGGCAGCAGUAGGGAAUCUUCCGCAAUGGGCGAAAGCCUGACGGAGCAACGCCGCGUGAGUGAUGAAGGUCUUCGGAUCGUAAAACUCUGUUAUUAGGGAAGAACAUAUGUGUAAGUAACUGUGCACAUCUUGACGGUACCUAAUCAGAAAGCCACGGCUAACUACGUG